rnacentral:rRNA from 1 species
GACGAACGCUGGCGGCGUGCCUAACACAUGCAAGUCGAACGGGACCAGGGGCAACUCUGGUUCAGUGGCGGACGGGUGCGUAACACGUGCGGAACAUGACCUUCGGCGGGGGAGUAGCCGGCCCAACCGGCCGGGUAACGUACCGCGUACGACCGUCUAGGGACGAUCCCUCGGAUGGUGAAAGACAGCAAUGCGCCGAUGGAGUGCCUCGCGGCCUAUCAGCUAGUUGGUGAGGUAACGGCUCACCAAGGCGACGACGGGUAGCUGGUCUGAGAGGAUGGCCAGCCACAUUGGGACUGAGACACGGCCCAGACUCCUACGGGAGGCAGCAGUGGGGAAUAUUGCGCAAUGGACGAAAGUCUGACGCAGCGACGCCGCGUGUGGGAUGACGGUC